AAAUUUUUCUCUGUUCUUAUUAAAAAAAUUCAAGACUUUUUUCAGUCAAAUGUUACAAUGUUCAGUGCAAUACAAUUUCGUGUGUGCUGUUUUUGCGACUGAUGGGAAGAAAACCUUACUUGAAAUUAUAUUUAGUUUGCAAAAAAUAUAAAUAAAAUAAAAUCUGGAUCUCUCUAAGUGCAAUCAACUCAGAAGAACUCCAAACUUCAAUCGUUCACCAAGUAUUGAUACUUCGCGGCUAGGUGGACGUAAAUCUAUAAGUUAAUAGGAAAUUUGGACAGGCUAAUUGAUCUACAUCUGCAUGAUCUCAAAAGCUUAUUGGUCUUUUGCUAAAAUCUCUUAAAUUAGGAGUUGAUUUUCAAUAUAAACACUGCGAAUUGCCCUCGGAGAUAUUGGGAAUGUACUUGCAUGAGUAUGAAACCCUGGUUGUACCUAUUGAAAAGCUAAGAGAUGUAGAAGUGUUGAACAGGGCAUUUUUUCCGAAAUUUCCAUCAUUUGACUGAAAAUCGUUUUGAAUAAGAAAAGAGGAAAGAAGAAAGAGACUUAGAGUUAAAGGGAGAAAAAAUCAAUCAAUCAAUUUAUUUUUUUAAUGGGUCCUCUAAAUGAGUUUGGGUCAUGGACACUAAAAUGGGUGGGUAGAAAAAAUGGAUUGGGAUUCAAUUUAUCCAAUAAGAAAUUGACACCUAAUAAGUGAUAAUAAUAAUAAUAAUAAUAUAUACAUAUUUAAAAGAUUGUUAGUAUUAAAGGUAGAAAUAGACCAAAUAGGUGGAUUGAGGGAUAUUCUUAGCCCAAUAGGUGGAUUGAGGAGUAUUUUUAACUCAAUAGGCGGAUGAGGGGUAUUUUUGGACCUUUUUCAUAUAGUCUAGGGGUAUUUCUGGUCCUUUUCCCAUAUAUAAUACUUUUUUUUAAUUUCUAAUUUAUUUUAAUUGUCCGAUCGUUCUCAAAUUAAACUCUAUGCCUCUUCAUCUUUCCCAAAAAUAGUACAACCCAUCAUCUUUUGCAGAUUUUUUUUCUUCCCCAGAUUCGCUCGUCCUUCCCCAGACGCCUCUUCCCAAACGCUCCUCUCCUCUCCCAUUGCGUUUGCCGAGAACGUCUAUGCACCACCGGAAAAAAUGCAAUAUCCGGCGGAUUUGAACCGCUGACCAUCAAUCAUGGCCCCUUCCCAUCAACUUUAUGUCAUUUAUAUCUCUUUUUCUGAUCGAAGCAGGCCUAGAAAAUCUUGAUCAUCACUAUUGUUAGACCUGAAAUUAUGGGGGACGCGAAGAACCAUCAGAUUUUUGCUUAGCUCUUAAUCUAAUGGGUCUGAAGCCUUCACCAAAUUUGUCUAUAAAAGACAACCAUUGACAUCGAACAGAGGGGAGACGUGGAGAAAGAGACGGCAGAAGGGAGGAGAAAGAACGAGAAAAAAAGAGAGGAAGAAAAAGAGAGGAGAGAAAGGGAGAAGGGAGGAGAAAGAGACUAGAGAAAGGGAGAAGGAAGGAGAAAGAUUAGGAAAAAAAGAGAAAGGGAGAAGAAGAAAGAAAGGAGGAGGAGAGAAAAAUCAAUCCUUCAUAAAGAAAACGGAUGGAACAACAUUGAAUAAUCAAUCAAGAAUCAUAAAAUAGCUCCUCUGAUUUUUCUUUUACCUCUCUGCUUUUCGUUUGGCUUCGAGUUGGAGUAGGUUUGAAGGUGGAAUAUCUUGACGUCAAAACUCUUGUUUGCUGCUCAACACAAGCUAGAAUUUCUACUUUGAAACUCGUUAUUGGCCUAAGAUAAUAGGCCAACAACAAAUUAUUAUCACCGCAAUGCUUGGAGUCUCAUAAAUAGGAGUCUAAUAUUUUCUUAGUCUUUCUUUUGUUGCUUUAAUUAUAUUGUUUUGAUAUGUCGACUAGCUUUUAAUUACAAAUUUGAAUAUAUUGCUUGUCCUUUAUUUUUGACGUUUAUUUAUGUGAGUUAACAUUAUAUGCUUGUAAAUUUAGUUGAAACAACUUUAGAAACAAAGAUAUAAAAAAUAUCUUCUUAAAAUGGGUUGACACUUUUUUUACCUACAACAAUCUUUAAGGUCUUUUAAGUUGAAAGGGUCUUAUAGUUUAAGAAUUUUUCAAAUAAAGUUUCAAAAGGGUUGAACAUAUCAUGUAUGCCUAACUGUUUGCCAAAUAACUUUAAAAAUAGUUUAUAUGCUAAAAUAAUCACCCUUAGAAAUAUGUUAGGCUAAAAUAAUUAAUUUUCUUGAAAUAUAUGUUGAAAAUAUGUUAGCUAAAAUAAUUACUUGUCUUGAAAUUUAUUUUGAAAAUUAGGCGCUAUGUUUUUAUGAACAAAAAUGACAUAAAAAUUUUAGUUAUAAAAUAAGUCCCAAUAGUUAACCCUUUUUUAUCACCACUUUACUCCUAUAUUAGAAAAGGCAUAAUCAACAUGCUUGCUUCAAGGGCUAUUUUGGUCUUUACAAUGCUUGCUUCAAGGGUUAUUUUGGUCUUUACAAGUAUAUGGUUAGCUGUCUUUUCUUUGUUAAUCUAUUUUGCCUUUUCAUUUUCUCAGCUAACGUGUCUUCUUCUGAUAAAAUGAAAAUGCAUGUCUUCCUCCUCCUAUGUCUUCCUCCUAAUGCUUCAAUUCACUAUUUACACAUGGAAGUUCACUCUCUUCAGCCUUCUCAAGCCUUCUCCAGAGACCCUUUUAAGCCCAAAGGCCUUUCUUGAUUUUUCCAUAAAGAUGCCAGUUUGAAGUAACCAUCAAGGAUGAUACUGGUUCAACAACAGCCAUGAUUUCAGAUAAAAUUGGAGAAGAACUAUUGUCUCUAACUGUAGCAGAAAUUCAUGACAUACGUUGCAUCAAGAAACAACUGUUGUCACUCGUAUCCGUGCAACACAAACUGCUAGGCAAGACAUUCACCGUCCAAAUAAAGAAGUUGUUUGCCAAAAACAAGGAUGCAUCUUCAGCAAAACUGUUUAUCAUGUCAAUCAUCGAGACAGAUAUAGCUAGCAAUCUGCCACUGCCCAUCAACGCACCAACAACUCCAGAAAGCAGUAAACGCAAGCUGAAGCAAAUCAUGAUAAAAGAAGACUAAAAGUGUAAUACUUUUUUGUAAUAUGGUUGGCAACACCAUUUUGUCUUGAUGGCGUACACUUUUGGUGCUGAUAGCAUGGACUUUGCUGCAUAGUUAUAAGAAAUUGACAG